GAGUUUGAUCUUGGCUCAGAACGAACGCUGGCGGCAUGCCUAACACAUGCAAGUCGAACGGGAUCCGGACUUCGGUCCGGUGAGAGUGGCGGACGGGUGAGUAACGCGUGGGAACCUGCCCAAUGGUCUGGGAUAACCGCGGGAAACUGCGGCUAAUACCGGAUAAGCCCGAGAGGGGAAAGAUUUAUCGCCGAUGGAGGGGCCCGCGUCCGAUUAGGUAGUUGGUGAGGUAACGGCUCACCAAGCCGACGAUCGGUAGCUGGUCUGAGAGGAUGAUCAGCCACACUGGGACUGAGAUACGGCCCAGACUCCUACGGGAGGCAGCAGUGGGGAAUAUUGGACAAUGGGGGCAACCCUGAUCCAGCAAUGCCGCGUGAGUGAUGAAGGCCUUAGGGUUGUAAAGCUCUUUUGCCGGGGACGAUAAUGACGGUACCCGGAGAAUAAGUCCCGGCUAACUUCGUGCCAGCAGCCGCUGU
rnacentral:rRNA from 1 species